UUGUCCAAACACACAAGAAAAUUGACACUCAGUCUUGAGAAACAAUCUCAUUGUUAUAAAUUGGUUUUACCAAAUUAAUUAAAAUAUCUGGUACAUCAACAUGCUUGCUUCAAUCUUGGAGUGGCAGCCUGCAGGGAUUCAAAUGGUAAUUUUAUUUCCGCCGUGACUUCGUGCUUUAAUGGUAUCCCUUCUCCAUCAGAGUCAGAAGUGAGAUCGUUGGAACUUACUCUAAAUUGGUUAUCGUCCGGUGAGCUCAGUAAUAUAAUCUUGAUGUCAGACUGCAAGCAGAACAUUGACAGCAUCAAAGCUAGAAGGUUUCAUAAUAAUGAAGUUGGAGACAUACUAAAGAGACGUUGCCAAAAUUGUCACUUUUCAAAACUGUGUUGUUGAGUUUGUGAACAGGCAAGCCAAUCAAAUUACUAGGGCAUCUAGACCCUUUGUUUGUCCAUAAUUUUUUUUAUCAUAGUCUUUCAUGUAUGGACUCUUUCAUCCAGUUUGAUUUAAUAUAACUAUCUUUCCUUUAAAAAAAAAUACUUUAAUCAAAAUUACCCAUGAAAAGAAUGCCGUAAAUAAUCUGAAAUAACUAAUUGGCUAAACUCUAUAGUAGUCUUCUUUACAACUUUUGUUUGAAUCUUUCAUAGUUUUUUUUAAAGACAAAAAAUAUUUUAUUAGCAAAAUUUUGAGCACGAGGUGUGUCAAAAUUUUGAAUCUUUCAAACUUAAUUUUACAAAACAAUGAAUGCUAUUUGUUAGAAACAUAAAACUAUCCUAAUAAAGGAUUUAUGAUUUUGGAUUAGAUAUAUUAGGCACCCAGGCCAGCCUCUUGCAGUGCUCCUACACUGGAAACCAUAUAGCAUGAGCUUAUCAACAAGGGCUGAAGUAAUUCACUCAAUUACGAUUAAUUUGGCCAGAAUUUUAAUGUGUGUGUGUGAAGCUUCAUCUAGUUUUGUUUAAUUUUAAUUAAUACCUGCACCACCAAGUCAAGUAUACAACAACAUGUCUGCAUUCCAAUUUGCUGUCAUGGUUACACAUACUUUUUGUCAUGGUUACACAUACUUGCUACCAGUAUAACCACAUGUACACCCAAGCUCCCCACCAUCCAUGCAUGCAGCAUUCAGCUUUAAAAAUAUAUAGCUUCACAUAGAUGCAACACAGAAAUAACAUUGAGAGUUGAGACCAAGGAGUCAAACUGCAAAUAUCACAAGACUACUUGCUGCAAUUCUCCAAAAGCUCACAUGCGACUUAAUUAAUAAACUCUAAUCUCACACCUCACAAUCUAUGUAAAUCGUGAUUGAAAAUGAUAAGUUUAAUAUCCAUCAAUGUUAACAUUAUAUAUCUUGUUAACAUGAGUUACAUUUUUUUACUGUUUUAAUUAAUAGCUAAAUAUUUUUUGUGAACUUAGACUAUCCACGAUCAAAAUCAAUAGAUUAAUCUCUUAAAAUAUUAAAAUCUUUUUGAGGAAUUGAUUUUUUUCAAUAAAUAUUCUUCUAUAUACAAGUAGACCUCAUGCUUAAGAGGUAUGAUUAUACUCCAAAUAACUAAAGCAGAAGUUUUGCCAAAUAUAUACCAAUGAAUUUAAAACUAGGAUAACUCACAUAAUCUCAAAUUGCUAGCUCAAAUUCUCCUACUCCUAUCAUAGAUUCCAUAUCUACCAUAUAAUUUGAAUAGGGAAAUGCUACUGUCCUAAGCAUAUUAAGGUUGAUAAUUAAUUAAUAAAAUCCUGAUUGUGGUUUGUGAUCAUAUGGUCAAGGUAUUUUAACAUUUCGCAAUCGCAUCACGAUUAUAAUUACAAUCACAUCAGUCAUAUUUUUUCAUAAUGUAAAGAUUUUUUUGACUUAUGGUAACACAACCACAAUCAUAAUUUAAAACCAUGAAUAAAACAAUAUUUACCACAUUCCUUUGCCGCAAAACCAAAUAUAUAUAUUUGUUUGACCCGGAAGCUGUCUCAAGCGCUGACAAAAAGACACACUGAUUGGCUUUCAAUGAUUUUAAAAUCAUAAUGCUGCUCUAUUCAUGAACCAAAUGAAAUGACGACGUCAAAUCACUUAGCUAGCUAGGUGCAAAAUGUGGACACUUUGAAUUUUCCACUGUAAGAUAAUCAAGUGAAUAUAUACCUGGCUUCGAUCAAUGAUGCAUUGCGUUGACUUUCCCAACUUUCGUAAUAUAUCAGCUGUAUAAGUGUGACAGAUACAAAGAUUCCAUAAAUGUGCAAAAGAUUCAAAUUGAUAGGUGCAUCUACCACUUUAAUUUGCACCAAGUAAGUGGCAAAUUAAGAACAUGAUUAAAACAUCAUCAGAUUGCAUUCAACAUUAUUAAUGCUUAUGCCACUGAAGAAUAAUUGCUUAAUUUCAAUCAAAGUUGCCCUGGCAUUAAACGCAGAAUACAACCAGCUGAAAAAUAAAAACUGUGAACGUACCAAUCACCACCAGAAAACAGUGUGACUAUAGGAGCCAAGGUUUAGAGGAUAUGAUCACCAUUUCUGUUACAUCGCUGGCAGCAUCAACUAAAGGUUAAGUAACCACAUUUAUUUCCUUUUAUUUAUCUUAGUCCAUGAUGG
rnacentral:lncRNA from 1 species